rnacentral:lncRNA from 1 species
CUUUGACCCAAAAUGACUCAUGUUUGUUACCCAGCCCAGGUUACCAGCUAACCUUUGAGGACACCAGCUGCUUCUCGUCAGGAAGCACCGGGAGCCACUCCCCUCUUCCCGACUCCAGACUCCAGACUGGGGGACCGGCUCUCCCUUCUUCCCACGUCUCCUGGACCAAGCGGCUCUGCAUCCACCCAGGAAGGAGAUUGGACUUCCUCACGUCAUGGCUGCCAGCAUCUUUCCACGGCGGCUGAAGACUUCAAGAACGCAUAUCCCAACAAAGUGUCAGCUGCAUGGUCUUUUACGACUUAACCUUGGAAGUCACAUCAUGUCAUUUCUACCAUGCGUUCGUAGUUGAAAUGAUCACAGAAGUAUAUCUGGUUUCAAGGAGGGGAGGCAUAGACCCUCAUCGCUUGGUGUGUCGAAGAAUUUGC